rnacentral:lncRNA from 1 species
UUCCGGUGAAGUUCGGUGAGGUUCGGGAGCAUUCGGGCGAUUCGGUGCGCGUAGGCGUGGAAACGGAACCCGAAAGGCUAUGUUGGGCCAUGAGUUAAAUCCGGCAUUAGCGUGGAUGAAAAGAUGAAGAAAACAUGCUCGAAAACAUGUUUGGAGAGUCUCGGUUCGAUUUGAAACGAAUCGGAGGUCAAACGGUCGAAAACGGAGCGAAAACGGACCCCGAAAGCUAAAAAAGCUGAAAAUUUGGCUAAGUCUGGAAUGCUGUUUUUCUAGACAUUCGGGGACCGGUCCCUCAAGUCCAAAGACCGGUCCCAGCACCCGAAAAUGGCCCAGUUUGGGCUGUGUGUGACUUAUAUUGUUGAGGGACCUUGGUGCAAUUGUGCCAAGGGUAUAGAGAGGGUUGGGGGCUCAUUUCCUCUCCUUCUCCCUCACAUUGCAACCAAAAGAGUACCCCUCUCUCUCUCAAGCUCUCCUCUCUCUCUCUACAAGGGUGGAUCUUGGAGGAGGAUUUGGUGGAGAACAAGAUCAAGAGAGGGAUUAGCAUCUUCUUCUUCUUCCUCUCCACCAUUGGAGCUUGCUUUGGAGGUAAGCUUGCUACCCCUUUAAUGGUAGAUCUCUAGGGCUUUGGUCUUAUGCUCUAGAAAUGGAUUUAGUAGCCUUCCUAGAUGCUAAUUGAUGGAUUAUGCUUAGAUCCAAAGGUUUGAUGGUCGGUUUUUGUCUAAUUGCGACCUAGAGCUCCAAAAUGGGAUUUUUGCAAAUAUAGGGUUUUGAUCUCAUUUGAGUGGUCAGAAACCUAAUGGUUAUGUCUCCGAACGUGUAGGAAGCGACGGUUCGUCGAUUCGUUGAGCGGGUGCGACGUUCCGGCUGAAACAAGUGCUAGAGGGUUCGUUUUGGCCCGACGAGCCGAGGCGGCGUGCGAAGACCGCGGAGACAAGUUUUCUAACCUUUCGGCGUUACCAAAAGGUGGGGGAGUGCCAUCCCGAAGCAGUCAGGCUACUCUUUAUGUCUAAGUGCUAAGUUGA